rnacentral:rRNA from 1 species
AGAGUUUGAUCCUGGCUCAGAACGAACGCUGGCGGCGUACCUAACACAUGCAAGUCGUACGAGAAAUUCCGAUUCGUCGGGAGAGUAAAGUGGCGAACGGGUGAGUAACACUAGGGUAAUCUUCCCUUAAAUAAGGGAUAACGUUGCGAAAGCGACGCUAAUACCUUAUAAGACUACGAUCUCUGAGGAGAUAGUAGGAAAAGAUGGCCUCUGUUUCAAGCUAUCGUUUAAGGAUGAGCCCUAGCACUAUUAGCUAGUUGGUGAGGUAAUGGCUCACCGAGGCGACGAUGGUUAGCUGGUCUGAGAGGAUGACCAGCCACACUGGAACUGAGACACGGUCCAGACUCCUACGGGAGGCAGCAGUGAGGAAUAUUGCGCAAUGGGGGAAACCCUGACGCAGUGACGCCGCGUGAGUGAUGAAGGCUUUCGAGUCGUAAAGCUCUGUUAGGUGGAAAGAAACAUUCCGGCGCUAAUAUCGCCGGGACUUGACGGUACCACCAGAGGAAGCACCGGCUAACUCCGUGCCAGCAGCCGCGGUAAUACGGAGGGUGCAAGCGUUGUUCGGAUUUACCGGGCGUAAAGGGCGUGUAGGCGGUUAACUAAGUCAGAUGUGAAAUCCCUUAGCUUAACUAAGGAAGUGCAUUUGAAACUGGCUAACUGGAGUACAGGAGAGGAAAGUGGAAUUCCCAGUGUAGAGGUGAAAUUCAUAGAUAUUGGGAGGAACACCGGUAGCGAAGGCGGCUUUCUGGCCUGAUACUGACGCUGAGACGCGAAAGCGUGGGUAGCAAACAGGAUUAGAU